rnacentral:lncRNA from 1 species
GGGAGGAUGGAAUGAGGUUUAAUGAUGCAAAUGACACAGGAAAAACCUGAAAAGAAUAAUUUAAGGCUUGGAACCAAGGUGCAGACUUGUCCCGUUGUAUACCCACUGGGGCACAUUCGUGGAGGCUGACUGUGUGUUUGUGGAACACCUCUGCCUUCAGGGGACAUCUGGGGAAGGGGGGACAUGGAUGUAGGAAUCUUAUGGUCUGUGGGGCUCAGAUGGAUUCCGUCACCUCCAAGAACCUGAAGUUCCUCGGCUCAGCCAGACAUGAUGUGCUUGACAAAAGCUUCGUAGUUGAUGCAGCCGUUGGCGUCUUCUUGUCCUGCCAUGAGCUGCUCCACCUCGCUUUCUGUCAUCUUCUCCCCCAGCGUGACCAGCACGUGGCGCAGCUCUGCUCCCAUCACCAGGCCGUUGCCCUCCUUGUCGAAGACGCGCAGCCCUUCCACGAAGUCCUCGAAGGUGCCCUGCUCCCUGUUGCGGGUGAAGUGCUGCAGGAUGGGGAGGAAGGUCUCAAAGUCCAACAUCUUCGUGUUCAUGUCUUCUGGUUUGGGCUUGCCCAGCACCUUCAGGACCUCAGCGUUGGUGGGGUUGUGACCCAGUGCCCGCAGGACGUCCCCGCACUGCGCGUAGGUGAUCUGCAUGGCUCCCGUGGGCGUCCGGUCAAACAGGCUGAAGGCUUCCUUGAACUCUUCGAUCUGCUCCGCAGCGAACUCGAUCUUCACGCUUUUGGGGUCGAAGGUGAACUCCUUGGGCACCUCCGGGGCUGCGGCCGCUUUGGCCGCAUCCUUCUUGGGGUCGGGUUUCUUGAGCGGCAUGGCGCGGGGAUGAGACCUCCUGCCCGGCGGAGCGAUGCGAGGCGGGGGCUGCUGCCUCCGUUAUAAACCCAGCCCUGUCCUCACCCCGCAGGGGCAGGCCGGCUGCUGGAGCAGCUGCUACUUACUAUAAAAGGAAGAAAACUCAAACGAGAGGGGCCCCAACUCGACAAUUGCCCAUUGUCAUCAGCUCCCGCGCUGGGGGAAGCCGCUCGGGCUGCCCUGGAUGCUCCGGGUUCAGCCGUGAGCUUUGGGAUCACGAGAGCUUCCCCAGGUGGUGGACACCCCCGGCACCUGCACUGCGUGGGGCUCUGCUCUGAACCCUAAACUCGGUGCCUGCAAGGAGACAGCCACGUGGGAGCGGCUCUGGGGGAGCUGGUGGUGCAAG